AUAGCUCAAAUUUGAAAUCUAGCACUUUCAGUGUUCGAGUUGUAAUUUGAAGAAGGUAUCUUUGGAGUUGGCCCCCGUCUAUGUUCCUUGGAACAGGACGUCACAGAGGGUGAGAAUCCCGUGCGAUGGGGAGACCAAUUCUAUGUAAAGUUCCUUCGAAGAGUCGAGUUGUUUGGGAAUGCAGCUCUAAGUGGGUGGUAAAUUCCAUCUAAAGCUAAAUAUUGGCGAGAGACCGAUAGCGAACAAGUACAGUGAUGGAAAGAUGAAAAGAACUUUGAAAAGAGAGUGAAAAAGUACGUGAAAUUGUUGAAAGGGAAGGGCUUUUGAUCAGACUUGGUGUUUAGUACUCUCUACUCCUUGUGGGUGGGGCUCUUGCUUUAUACUGGGCCAGCAUCGGUUUGGAUGGUAGGAUAAUAGCAUUGGAAUGUGGCUUCAUUCGUGAAGUGUUAUAGCCCUUGUUGAUACUACCUAUCUAGACCGAGGACUGCGUCUUUUGACUAGGAUGCUGGCGUAAUGAUUAAAAGCC
rnacentral:rRNA from 1 species